CCCCNCCCACUAAAUAAUCNNNNCAACUACUUUAGAGCAAUUCAAAUGAGGUACAGCCCAUUUGACACAGGAUACAACCUUCACUUACGGGUANAAACCUAGCUCAUACCUCAAAGUAGGCCUAAAAGCAGCCACCUUUUAAAAAGCGUCAAAGCUUAACACCCCCGAGCNAUANUAAUUCAAAAACCCCUAUUAACCCCUUCAACCAUACUGAGAACUUCUAUAACCCUAUAGAACCUUUUAUGCUAAAACUAGUAACAAGAGNAAACCCCUCUCUCAUAAUGUAAACAUAAGCCAGCAAGAACCCAUCGCUGGCAAUUAACAANNNCUAAACAAAAGUAGCAACCUCACUAGAAAACCCUACUCCUACCAACUGUUAACCUAACACCAGAACAUUACAAGAAAGAUUAAAAGAAAAAGAAGGAACUCGGCAAAUUCAAGUCCCGCCUGUUUACCAAAAACAUCGCCUCUUGCACNCCCAUAAGAGGUCCAACCUGCCCAGUGACCCUGUUCAACGGCCGCGGUAUCCUAACCGUGCAAAGGUAGCGUAAUCACUUGUUUUCUAAAUAAAGACCUGUAUGAAAGGUUUAACGAGGACUAAACUGUCUCCUUUUUCCAAUCAGUGAACCUAAUCCCCCUGUGAAAAAGCGGGGAUUCCAAUAUAAGACGAGA
rnacentral:rRNA from 1 species